rnacentral:rRNA from 1 species
UACGUAGGGUGCGAGCGUUAAUCGGAAUUACUGGGCGUAAAGCGUGCGCAGGCGGUUUUGUAAGCCAGAUGUGAAAUCCCCGGGCUCAACCUGGGAACUGCAUUUGUGACUGCAUGGCUAGAGUACGGCAGAGGGGGAUGGAAUUCCGCGUGUAGCAGUGAAAUGCGUAGAUAUGCGGAGGAACACCGAUGGCGAAGGCAAUCCCCUGGGCCUGUACUGACGCUCAUGCACGAAAGCGUGGGGAGCAAACAGG